UUAAGCGACUAAGCGUACACGGUGGAUGCCCUGGCAGUCAGAGGCGAUGAAGGACGUGCUAAUCUGCGAAAAGCGCCGGCGAGGUGAUAUGAACCCUUGACCCGGCGAUGUCCGAAUGGGGAAACCCAGUGCAAUCCGUUGCACUAUCGUUAACUGAAUACAUAGGUUAACGAGGCGAACCGGGGGAACUGAAACAUCUAAGUACCCCGAGGAAAAGAAAUCAACCGAGAUUCCCCCAGUAGCGGCGAGCGAACGGGGAGCAGCCCGGAGUCUGAAUCAGCUUGUGUGUUAGUGGAACGGUCUGGAAAGUCCGACGGUACAGGGUGAUAGUCCCGUACACGAAAGCACACAUGCUGUGAACUCGAAGAGUAGGGCGGGACACGUGGUAUCCUGUCUGAAUAUGGGGGGACCAUCCUCCAAGGCUAAAUACUCCUGACUGACCGAUAGUGAACCAGUACCGUGAGGGAAAGGCGAAAAGAACCCCGGCGAGGGGAGUGAAAAAGAACCUGAAACCGUGUACGUACAAGCAGUGGGAGCCUCUUUAUGGGGUGACUGCGUACCUUUUGUAUAAUGGGUCAGCGACUUAUAUUCUGUAGCAAGGUUAACCGUAUAGGGGAGCCGAAGGGAAACCGAGUCUUAACUGGGCGUUAAGUUGCAGGGUAUAGACCCGAAACCCGGUGAUCUAGCCAUGGGCAGGUUGAAGGUUGGGUAACACUAACUGGAGGACCGAACCGACUAAUGUUGAAAAAUUAGCGGAUGACCUGUGGCUGGGGGUGAAAGGCCAAUCAAACCGGGAGAUAGCUGGUUCUCCCCGAAAGCUAUUUAGGUAGCACCUCGUGAACUCAUCUUCGGGGGUAGAGCACUGUUUCGGCUAGGGGGCCAUCCCGGCUUACCAACCCGAUGCAAACUACGAAUACCGAAGAAUGUUAUCACGGGAGACACACGGCGGGUGCUAACGUCCGUCGUGAAGAGGGAAACAACCCAGACCGCCAGCUAAGGUCCCAAAGUCAUGGUUAAGUGGGAAACGAUGUGGGAAGGCACAGACAGCCAGGAUGUUGGCUUAGAAGCAGCCAUCAUUUAAAGAAAGCGUAAUAGCUCACUGGUCGAGUCGGCCUGCGCGGAAGAUGUAACGGGGCUAAACCAUGCACCGAAGCUGCGGCAGCGACACUAUGUGUUGUUGGGUAGGGGAGCGUUCUGUAAGCCGUUGAAGGUGUGCUGUGAGGCAUGCUGGAGGUAUCAGAAGUGCGAAUGCUGACAUAAGUAACGAUAAAGCGGGUGAAAAGCCCGCUCGCCGGAAGACCAAGGGUUCCUGUCCAACGUUAAUCGGGGCAGGGUGAGUCGACCCCUAAGGCGAGGCCGAAAGGCGUAGUCGAUGGGAAACAGGUUAAUAUUCCUGUACUUGGUGUUACUGCGAAGGGGGGACGGAGAAGGCUAUGUCAGCCGGGCGACGGUUGUCCCGGUUUAAGCAUGUAGGCGGAGGUUCCAGGUAAAUCCGGUACCUUGUUAACGCUGAGGUGUGAUGACGAGGCACUACGGUGCUGAAGUGAUAAAUGCCCUGCUUCCAGGAAAAGCCUCUAAGCAUCAGGUAACACGAAAUCGUACCCCAAACCGACACAGGUGGUCAGGUAGAGAAUACCAAGGCGCUUGAGAGAACUCGGGUGAAGGAACUAGGCAAAAUGGUGCCGUAACUUCGGGAGAAGGCACGCUGAUGUGUAGGUGAAGCCCCUGCGGGUGGAGCUGAAAUCAGUCGAAGAUACCAGCUGGCUGCAACUGUUUAUUAAAAACACAGCACUGUGCAAACACGAAAGUGGACGUAUACGGUGUGACGCCUGCCCGGUGCCGGAAGGUUAAUUGAUGGGGUUAGCGGCAACGCGAAGCUCUUGAUCGAAGCCCCGGUAAACGGCGGCCGUAACUAUAACGGUCCUAAGGUAGCGAAAUUCCUUGUCGGGUAAGUUCCGACCUGCACGAAUGGCGUAAUGAUGGCCAGGCUGUCUCCACCCGAGACUCAGUGAAAUUGAACUCGCUGUGAAGAUGCAGUGUACCCGCGGCAAGACGGAAAGACCCCGUGAACCUUUACUAUAGCUUGACACUGAACACUGGUCCUUGAUGUGUAGGAUAGGUGGGAGGCUUUGAAGCGUGGACGCCAGUCUGCGUGGAGCCAACCUUGAAAUACCACCCUUUAAUGGCUGGUGUUCUAACGUAGACCCGUAAUCCGGGUUGCGGACAGUGUCUGGUGGGUAGUUUGACUGGGGCGGUCUCCUCCCAAAGAGUAACGGAGGAGCACGAAGGUUGGCUAAUCCUGGUCGGACAUCAGGAGGUUAGUGCAAUGGCAUAAGCCAGCUUGACUGCGAGCGUGACGGCGCGAGCAGGUGCGAAAGCAGGUCAUAGUGAUCCGGUGGUUCUGAAUGGAAGGGCCAUCGCUCAACGGAUAAAAGGUACUCCGGGGAUAACAGGCUGAUACCGCCCAAGAGUUCAUAUCGACGGCGGUGUUUGGCACCUCGAUGUCGGCUCAUCACAUCCUGGGGCUGAAGUAGGUCCCAAGGGUAUGGCUGUUCGCCAUUUAAAGUGGUACGCGAGCUGGGUUUAGAACGUCGUGAGACAGUUCGGUCCCUAUCUGCCGUGGGCGCUGGAGAAUUGAGGGGGGCUGCUCCUAGUACGAGAGGACCGGAGUGGACGCAUCACUGGUGUUCGGGUUGUCAUGCCAAUGGCACUGCCCGGUAGCUAAAUGCGGAAGAGAUAAGUGCUGAAAGCAUCUAAGCACGAAACUUGCCCCGAGAUGAGUUCUCCCUGAGACUUUAAGUCUCCUGAAGGAACGUUGAAGACGACGACGUUGAUAGGUCGGGUGUGUAAGCGCAGCGAUGCGUUGAGCUAACCGAUACUAAUGAACCGUGAGGCUUAACCUU
rnacentral:rRNA from 3 species